ensembl:snRNA U6 U6 spliceosomal RNA
GUGCUCACUUUGGCAGCACAUAUACCAAAAUUGGAACAACACAGAGAAGACCAGCAUGGCCCCCGCGCAAGGAUGACACGCAAAUUUGGGAAGAGUUCCAUAUUUUU